rnacentral:snRNA from 1 species
AUGACAUUGUUUUUUCUGAUAAAUUUGAAAGGAUUAAGAGAAGACGAGUACCGCCUCGGUGCAAGGGUGACACACAUAAAUCGAAAAAUAGUCCAAACUUUU